CCAAAAAAAAAGCGCUGAAAAUCUUGCGAUUUUCGGCGAGGGUUGCUAACAUUAAACCCUAGGGUAUCUAAGUAACCGUCCUCCGUUGAGUCGUUCUGUACCGCGAGAGAGAAGUAGUAAGAUUGAGGUGGAGGAUCGAUAACGCUGCGAGACUUCAGACGUUGCGAGCCUUAGGUGGGAGCGAACCAACGCCGGGGUACGUCAGGACAAGGAGGACAGACGCACCGUCAGGGAAGAACGGACGACGACGAUCUCACCUGCGGCGGCAGUCAGAUUCCGCGAUUAGGGUUCGUCAGACUCUCGGGCGAGGAAGACAGAGCAGCGGGUGCGGGUCGGUUCUUCGGGUAUGCCAGCGUGCGGUCCGUAACUCGCGGCACACGCUCGGACACCAUUGCUGGGCCGCGUCUCUAGUUCGGCCCAAGACCAGCAACACCAGACGCGUCCAGAAACCGUGUGCCGUCAGUAAGCUUCACAGCUCGUCGGCUUAGCCCUUUUGACUCUGUCGGCUCGGCACUUGGCUUCGUCGGCAGCUCCGUUGCAUUCCGCGGCGUGGCUUGGCGGUUCGACGGCUCGGCUUAGCGGCUCGGUAUACGAAUAAUUUCCACCCUUGUUUCAACCAUCUAAGGGGUAGUUAGGCGCCGGAGUUAAGCGUCGCGAGUGACUUCGGCCAAGGCCAAAGAGAUAAGUAACCUGCUGGCGUUAAUUAUCUAUGUGUAGUGGUGUGUGCACUGUCGCCUUCGCACGUACCAUGUGUGCUGUCAACGUAUGCUGUGCAAUGCCAAUGUAUACCAUGAAUGCUAUGUUAAGUAUUUUCUUGGGGUGAAAUAUCAUCUAUGCCAUGCUAUGCGAUGUUGUUGCCCUGACUUGUUUUACCUUGUAUUACCUUGUAGGCAUGAAAUUAAUUGAUAUGUCAUGAAUGUGUUGGGAGUUUACAUGCCAUGGAUGUCUCCCCUGGUGUACUACAAUACACUCAUGUGAUGUUUCGGUGAGUCGUGCUAUGUAAUGCGACGAGGGAAAUGAUAUGAUGUACUUGUAAUGCCAUGGGGGUAGCAAUAGGGACCCCGUGCACGUUGUGUCUUAUGUAUGGGAUUAUCGCUAGUUAUAUAAUGAUAGUAUGGACGCGUACACUCGAUAUUAUGCUCGCUAUGAUAUCAUGCAGGCCUCCUCAUUUUUCUGUGGUGUCCAGUAACGUAUGUCAUGCGACCCGACCAAGCCAGGCCCAGGGGGUUUGUGUACAAACCUGCCUGGUGGGCCCACAUCGACGUGCGUGGGCCAUGCUUGAAGGAGUACCAUGCAUCUACUCAGCCCGGAUAAAGCCAAGGCCUAAGGCCAGGUAAGGGCAAGGCUCCUAUGUACGGUUGACGGUGAACGCUGCGAAGGCCAUGAAAGUCUAAAGGAGGGCUUGUAGUACCAAUAGACUUCGUGUUGAGAUUCUUUCAAAUAAUAGAUUUCUCCUAGUUAGUUGUUGAUUGACUUUUCCAGAUAGAUUGUGAUUAUUGAUUUAAUAAUGAAC